AAUAGAUACCCUGGUAGUCCAUGCCGUAAACGUUGGGAACUAGGUGUGGGUCUCAUCCCACGUCCUCCGUGCCGCAGCUAACGCAUUAAGCGCCCCGCCUGGGGAGUACGGCCGCAAGGCUAAAACUCAAAGGAAUUGACGGGGGGCCCGCACAAGCGGCGGAGCAUGCGGAUUAAUUCGAUGCAACGCGAAGAACCUUACCUGGGUUUGACAUAUAGGGAAAUCCUCCAGAGAUGGGGGGUCCGUAAGGGUCCUAUACAGGUGGUGCAUGGCUGUCGUCAGCUCGUGUCGUGAGAUGUUGGGUUAAGUCCCGCAACGAGCGCAACCCUCGUCCUAUGUUGCCAGCACGCCCUUCGGGGUGGUGGGGACUCAUAGGAGACUGCCGGGGUCAACUCGGAGGAAUGUGGGGAUGACGUCAAGUCAUCAUGCCCCUUAUGUCCAGGGCUUCACGCAUGCUACAAUGGCCGGUACAAAGGGCUGCGAAACUGUAAGGUGGAGCGAAUCCCAAAAAGCCGGUCUCAGUUCGGAUUGGGGUCUGCAACUCCG
rnacentral:rRNA from 1 species